rnacentral:rRNA from 1 species
AGUGAACGCUGGCGGUAGGCCUAACACAUGCAAGUCGAACGGCAGCACAGUAAGAGCUUGCUCUUACGGGUGGCGAGUGGCGGACGGGUGAGGAAUACAUCGGAAUCUACUUUUUCGUGGGGGAUAACGUAGGGAAAUUUACGCUAAUACCGCAUACGACCUACGGGUGAAAGCAGGGGAUCUUCGGACCUUGCGCGAUUGAAUGAGCCGAUGUCGGAUUAGCUAGUUGGCGGGGUAAAGGCCCACCAAGGCGACGAUCCGUAGCUGGUCUGAGAGGAUGAUCAGCCACACUGGAACUGAGACACGGUCCAGACUCCUACGGGAGGCAGCAGUGGGGAAUAUUGGACAAAGGGCGCAAGCCUGAUCCAGCCAUACCGCGUGGGUGAAGAAGGCCUUCGGGUUGUAAAGCCCUUUUGUUGGGAAAGAAAAGCAGCAGGUUAAUACCCCGCUGUUCUGACGGUACCCAAAGAAUAAGCACCGGCUAACUUCGUG